rnacentral:rRNA from 1 species
GAUGAACGCUAGCGGCAGGCCUAACACAUGCAAGUCGAGGGAGAAGCCCUUUCGGGGGCAGAAACCGGCGCACGGGUGCGUAACGCGUAUGCAACCUACCUUUCACAGGGGGAUAGCCCGAAGAAAUUUGGAUUAAUACCCCAUAAUAUUAUUGGAUGGCAUCAUUUGAUAAUUAAAACUGCGGUGGUGAAAGAUGGGCAUGCGUCCUAUUAGCUAGUUGGAGUGGUAACGGCACCCCAAGGCUACGAUAGGUAGGGGUCCUGAGAGGGAGAUCCCCCACACUGGUACUGAGACAGGGACCAGACUCCUACGGGAGGCAGCAGUGAGGAAUAUUGGUCAAUGGUCAGAAGACUGAACCAGCCAUGCCGCGUGCAGGAAGAAUGCCUUAUGGGUUGUAAACUGCUUUUAUAUGGGAAGAAUAAGGUGUACGUGUACAUUGAUGACGGUACCAUAUGAAUAAGCAUCGGCUAACUCCGUG